AAUCGAACUAGGAGAUAGCUCGUUCUCUCCGAAAUGCAUUUAGGUGCAGCCUUGGACUGAGAUAUGUGGGGGUAGAGCUCUGUAUGAUCUAGGGGGCGUACUGCUUACCGAAAUCAAGCAAACUGCGAAUACCAUAUAUUAUGUUCAGGAGUGAGUCCGUGGAUGACAAGGUCCUCGGACGAGAGGGGAACAGCCCAGACCGCCAGCUAAGGUCCCUAAUUAUGUCUAAGUGGGAAAGGAGGUGGACAUUCAUAGACAACCAGGAGGUUGGCUUAGAAGCAGCCAUACCUUGAAAGAGUGCGUAAUAGCUCACUGGUCGAGAGUGCCUGCGCCGAAGAUGUAACGGGGCUAAGACAUAAACCGAAGCUGCGGAAGAUACACUGUAUCUUGGUAGGAGAGCGUUCUGUAGGCCGUCGAAGGGAUGCCGUAAGGCCAUCCUGGAGGUAUCAGAAGUGAGAAUGCAGGAAUGAGUAGCGAGAAGGCGGGUGAGAAUCCCGCCGGCCGGAAGUCCAAGGUUUCCAGGGGAAGGCUUGUCCGCCCUGGGGAAGUCGGGACCUAAGCAUAAGCAAAAUUGUGAUGGCGAAUGGAAAACAGGUUAAUAUUCCUGUACCGCUGUUAUCGCUUGAGAGACGGAGUGACGCAGGAAGGUAUGCGAGAAGGCUGACGGUUUAGCCUUUCUAAGGGCCCAGCGUGGGCGUGCAGGUAAAUCCGCACGCCUAAACGUGAGACCUGACGGGGAAGUGCAUUUGCAUAAGUCGCAGAUCCUACACUGCCAAGAAAAACUUCUAUCGAUGAGAAGCAGCGCCCGUACUGUAAACCGACACAGGUGGACAGAGUGAGAAACUUAAGGCCGACAGGAUAACUCUAGCUAAGGAACUCUGCAAAAUAGCCCCGUAACUUCGGGAGAAGGGGUGCCUGACAUACCUGAAGGAGAGAAGCGCUCCCAGGGGAAACAGGCCGCAGUGAAGAGUCUCAAGCAACUGUUUACCAAAAACACAGGUCUAUGCUAAGCUGAAAGGCGACGUAUAUGGGCUGACACCUGCCCAGUGCCGGAAGGUUAAGAGGAGGAUUGAGAGAUCCGAAUUGAAGCCCCGGUGAACGGCGGCCGUAACUAUAACGGUCCUAAGGUAGCGAAAUUCCUUGUCGGGUAAGUUCCGACCUGCACGAAUGGUGAAAUGAUUUGAGAGCUGUCUUGGCUGGAGACCUGGUGAAGUUGUAAUGUCGGUGAAGAUACCGACUACCUGCAGUAGGACGGAAAGACCCCGUGGAGCUUUACUGUAGCUUGGCAUUGGGUUCUGGCAAUGUGUGUAUAGGAUAGUUGGGAGACUGUGAUGUGAUGGCGUCAGCCAUUGCUGAGUCGCUGUUGGAAUACCAACCAUAUGCUGUCGGAAUUCUAAUCUGGCAACGGAGACAGUGCUAGGUGGGCAGUUUGACUGGGGCGGUCGCCUCCCAAAGAGUAACGGAGGCGUUCAAAGGUUCCCUCAGGCUGGAUGGAAAUCAGCCUAAGAGUGCAAACGCAUAAGGGAGCUUGACUGCAAGACUGACGGGUCGAGCAGGUACGAAAGUAGGAGUUAGUGAUCCGGCGGUUCCGUAUGGAAGGACCGUCGCUCAACGGAUAAAAGCUACCCCGGGGAUAACAGGCUGAUACUUCCCAAG
rnacentral:rRNA from 1 species